CCAUGUGCCCAAGAGACUUGGUGCUGUGACCACUUCUGUGGGGAGCCUGUUCUGGUACCCAACCACCCUCUGGGUGAAGAACCUUUUCC